GACGAACGCUGGCGGCGUGCCUAAUACAUGCAAGUUGAGCGCUGAAGGUUGGUACUUGUACCAACUGGAUGAGCAGCGAAUGGGUGAGUAACGCGUGGGGAAUCUGCCUUUGAGCGGGGGACAACAUUUGGAAACGAAUGCUAAUACCGCAUAAAAACUUUAAACACAAGUUUUAAGUUUGAAAGAUGCAAUUGCAUCACUCAAAGAUGAUCCCGCGUUGUAUUAGCUAGUUGGUGAGGUAAAGGCUCACCAAGGCGAUGAUACGUAGCCGACCUGAGAGGGUGAUCGGCCACAUUGGGACUGAGACACGGCCCAAACUCCUACGGGAGGCAGCAGUAGGGAAUCUUCGGCAAUGGACGAAAGUCUGACCGAGCAACGCCGCGUGAGUGAAGAAGGUUUUCGGAUCGUAAAACUCUGUUGGUAGAGAAGAACGUUGGUGAGAGUGGAAAGCUCAUCAAGUGACGGUAACUACCCAGAAAGGGACGGCUAACUACGUG
rnacentral:rRNA from 1 species